GACGAACGCUGGCGGCGUGCCUAAUACAUGCAAGUAGAACGCUGAAGACUUUAGCUUGCUAAAGUUGGAAGAGUUGCGAACGGGUGAGUAACGCGUAGGUAACCUGCCUACUAGCGGGGGAUAACUAUUGGAAACGAUAGCUAAUACCGCAUAACAGCAUUUAACCCAUGUUAGAUGCUUGAAAGGAGCAAUUGCUUCACUAGUAGAUGGACCUGCGUUGUAUUAGCUAGUUGGUGAGGUAACGGCUCACCAAGGCGACGAUACAUAGCCGACCUGAGAGGGUGAUCGGCCACACUGGGACUGAGACACGGCCCAGACUCCUACGGGAGGCAGCAGUAGGGAAUCUUCGGCAAUGGGGGCAACCCUGACCGAGCAACGCCGCGUGAGUGAAGAAGGUUUUCGGAUCGUAAAGCUCUGUUGUAAGAGAAGAACGUGUGUGAGAGUGGAAAGUUCACACAGUGACGGU
rnacentral:rRNA from 1 species